UAUUCCUUCAGCCCAGAGCUCCUGGAUCUGACUGCAGCCUGGGGCCCAGCUGAGCCCCAAGGGAGGAAAUCUGCACACCCAGUUGUCCGCAGUCUGAAUGGACUGGGGAUGAGGACAUCGGAGUAGAUUGCGGGGUGGGGAGAAAUCAGGGAUUGUGAGCUCCAGUAGCCAUCUCCCCACCUGCCUUAGUAACAGAGCUCCAGUUUUACCUGGGUCUAGUGCCGCUCAGCUAAAAGGUCACAUUUCCCACCUCCCUUGCAGCUAGGUAUGAUCACGUGACCAAGUUCUGGCCAAUGAGAAAUAGGAGUAUCCAGGAAUGGGAAGAGAUAUGCCCUUCUUUGGCCCUUUGUCCAACCAGCAGCCUGGAAAGCAGAUGUGAUGGCUGAGCUCUGGCAGCCACGUUGGAGUCUGAGGUGAAGGAACACCUGCUCAGGGAUGUAGAGCAAUGAGCGGGCAGGACCCCGCGUCCCUGGUGACGUGUAUGGCCUUCACAGCAGCCCUAGCUUGCCCACAUCUAGAGUUCUUUUAUGGGAAAGAAAAAACACACAUUUACCUUGUUUAAGCACUGCAGUUUUGAGCUUUACUGUUACAGGCAGUCGACCCUAGUCAAAGCUGGUAUAGUGGGGAAGAAGUCUUGAAGAAGAGAGACAACGCGAAAACCAGAGGAGUGAUCAGGCUGAAACACUGCAUGUGGUUUGGGUGGCUCACAUGGGACCAGUGGACGACCGGCUGGGUCAGGACCUGACUCUGGAUGCAAGGUCUCCUGUACUAAGGAGUCUUCAAUUUUUCUCAGUGUCUUUUUGGCAUCCUUGGAGAUGAGCUUGUGGCCCUUCUUCCUUGAGCUACUGAUGGAACAGGCCAUGCUUGGCUUCUGUCAUUUGCAAUGGAAAAUAUCCUGGGAAUACAGGAGUCAGCAAGCUGUGUCUGGGGGCCAAAUCCCCAAGCUAAGAAUGGAUUUUACAUUUUUGAAGAGUUGUUAAAAAUUAAUAAAUCAAAAAAGACUGUUAAGAGACUGCAUGUGGCCUAAAAAAGUUUAAAAUAUUUACUA